CUGGUAUUGGCAUAUAAUCUGGGGAAAAGUUUUUAAAAAGAAGUUUGUUUCCAGGUGCUUUUCUUGAUUAUCUCACUGUCAUCAGUUAUCACCAGCUGCCAACUAUCAGAAGAUAAUAAAGAAGACAAAGCUCAAAAUAGUUUUUAUAGAGCUUAGAACUGACUGAGGUGUGAUUGAGAAACAAAUAGCUCUUAUCACCUAGCUGUAUACCUGCCCAGGGAAACCUUAGAGAAAACCACCUGUUAUCUCCUCCAUUUGAAAUUCACAGGGAGAAGAGCCAGAUGAAGAGAGAGGACAAAGAAGGAUGUAAAUGAGCUUGGAGGCUUUUUUUUUUUGGUUUGUUUUCCUUUUGUUUUUCCUGAAGGGCUUCUCAAAGACAUCUGUUGGCUGAGGUUACUGUCUGUACUAGGUGCAAUUAGGACACUGGCAAGGGUCUGCUAAUUACUGAUUGUUCAAAUCUGCUAGACUAGAAAAUAAGGUGAGAAAGUGUCAGAGAAGAGACCCUGGGCAGACUAUAAAACCUGAGCCUCCUGAGUCCUAGGCUGCAAUGAAUAGCCUUGGCAAACUAGUACUGUAGUUUAUUGCUCUGGGAGUGAGUCUCUAGGAAAUGCUCCAGGUGAAGGAAGCAUGGAGAGUAAAGGAAGAAUUCUUUGGACCAGUAAAUAUUGUGCCAUCUUUCUUUUUCUGCCAGAAGUCCACUGUUCCUCUGUGGAUGCAAGUAUAUUUGUUCUUCUUGACCCUGUGACUGCAACUGGGAACUGUAUCUGGACAAGCCAUAACUGGGAUGUUAAGGUGAUGCCACAGAUGCCAAUAUCUGGAAACAACUCUUCCAUAGGAAUUGACGACUUCCUGCUACUGACCAUGAUGAUGCAUAUGCCUUUCUCUUUACUAAAGCCUUUUACUCUUGGAGUCAUUAAGCUUUGGAGUACUAUGAAGGAAGAACUAUGUGAGAGGAAGACUGGCUCUAUACUAAAGGGAAAGUAGAUUGGCUAAUCCUGUUCCUACUGUUACUGCCAUGUGGCUGCAUGAGGUAUUGAAGGAAAUGUAGGAUUAUUGGAAAAAUUUUGUAUGUAGUAAGAACUUAUGAAAUAUACAUUUACUUAAAUCAUGGGAUCUGUUGUUCACAUUCCUACUAAUCUAGACUGAGUGGUUUUAACUAAGAUUGUUUUAUUGACAAUUUAACAAUUAUUUAAUGAAUUAAUAGAAUCAGCUAUCAAAAUUUAAGUUAGCUAUUAAUAUAUCAUCAUAAUUUUAUAUAGUGUUGAGUGGGGUGUAAUUUGUUUUAUUUACUUGUAUUAUUUCUUUGGACACUCACAAUAAUCCUACGAGGUAUAUCUAAUAAUUAUUAUCACCAUUUCACAUUUGAGCAAACUGGAGAUUAAAGUUGACUUACCCAAGAUGACAAAAUAAGUAAGAGGCAGAAUCAGAUAUUAAAGCCUGACUAUUUUAUCUCAAACAUUCAAGCAUUUUUCAACUAAAUUCUUUUAAAAAAACAUUGAUGUCCAUAGUUGAGUGCUACAAGCUUUUAAAUAAACAUAAAAUUUGAAUAUAAGGCCCA
rnacentral:lncRNA from 1 species